GUGGAUAUAGUUCAAUAGGUAGAACACCUGUAUGUGGCACAGCAAGUUCCCUGUUCAACUCGGGGUAUCCACCCCA
rnacentral:tRNA from 1 species